CCUACGGGAGGCUGCAGUGGGGAAUAUUGGGCAAUGGGCGCAAGCCUGACCCAGCAACGCCGCGUGAAGGAAGAAGGCUUUCGGGUUGUAAACUUCUUUUUUCAGGGACGUAGCAAGUGACGGUACCUGAGGAAUAAGCCACGGCUAACUACGUGCCAGCAGCCGCGGUAAUACGUAGGUGGCAAGCGUUAUCCGGAUUUACUGGGUGUAAAGGGCGUGUAGGCGGGACUGUAAGUCAGAUGUGAAAUCCACGGGCUCAACCUGUGGACUGCAUUUGAAACUGUAGUUCUUGAGUACAGGAGAGGCAGACGGAAUUCGUAGUGUAGCGGUGAAAUGCGUAGAUAUUAGGAGGAACACCAGUGGCGAAGGCGGUCUACUGGACAGCAACUGACGCUGAGGCGCGAAAGCGUGGGGAGCAAACAGGAUUAGAUACCCGAGUAGUC
rnacentral:rRNA from 1 species